UGAGGAAUAUUGGACAAUGGGCGCAAGCCUGAUCCAGCAAUGCCGCGUGCAGGAUGAAGGCCUUCGGGUCGUAAACUGCUUUUGUACGGAGCGAAAAGGUCUGCCCUAAUACGGUGGGCUCAUGACGGUACCGUAAGAAUAAGCACCGGCUAACUACGUGCCAGCAGCCGCGGUAAUACGUAGGGUGCGAGCGUUAAUCGGAAUUACUGGGCGUAAAGCGUGCGCAGGCGGUUAUAUAAGACAGAUGUGAAAUCCCCGGGCUCAACCUGGGACCUGCAUUUGUGACUGUAUAGCUAGAGUACGGUAGAGGGGGAUGGAAUUCCGCGUGUAGCAGUGAAAUGCGUAGAUAUGCGGAGGAACACCGAUGGCGAAGGCAAUCCCCUGGACCUGUAAUGACGCUCAUGCACGAAAGCGUGGGGAGCAAACA
rnacentral:rRNA from 1 species